rnacentral:rRNA from 1 species
UACAGAGGGUGCGAACGUUGCUCGGAAUUACUGGGCGUAAAGCGCGUGUAGGCGGAUCCGUAAGUCGGGCGUGAAAUCCCCAGGCUCAACCUGGGAACUGCGCUCGAAACUGCGGGUCUUGAGUGUCGGAGAGGAUGGCGGAAUUCCUGGUGUAGAGGUGAAAUUCGUAGAUAUCAGGAGGAACACCGGUGGCGAAGGCGGCCAUCUGGACGACAACUGACGCUGAGACGCGAAAGCGUGGGGAGCAAACAGG